GUUAGAUUCAAAGAUUUUAUCUCCAUCUGCACCUUAUUUUCGCUCUUUUCUUACACAAAAUACAGAAGAAUGUCCUCACCGUUUCGCACCCUGCCUUUUUCACUGCACAUCUGCAUCCAGAUGUGAGCACAGAGACCUUCCUCAUUCCUUCUCAGCUGGCUAAUCCCCUGUUGUGGGGUGGACUGUGGAGCUCCAAACUUCUAUUACCUUUCUUUGAGACCAUUUCAUUCCUCUGGGAACUGAUUUGCAAGGUUGUUCUGGAGCUUCCAUGGCUGAUGGUUACCCCCUCCCCACCCCUGUGCGUGUACAAUGACUAGGUCACUGCUGCGGGAAUGAGUUGAGACAGCUUGAUCUUUUUCAAGUCGCAAUAUUUUAAAAAGUAAAAAUUCACCCAACUAACCUUGACUCCCUUCUGCUAUCAUUGUCC
rnacentral:lncRNA from 1 species